UGAUAACUUUGCUUGUCUGGCAUUAAUGGGCUAUGCAAAGGAGGGAAACAGGUGCGGGAGUGCACUGUACUGCCAUGGCGACUUGGGGCGAUUAGUCCAGGCAAGUCACUGACUCAAGCCAGCAAGCCACUAGCCGCAGCCUUGGCGACUUGGCUUGACUCGGCGACUCAAAAACAUAGUCUUGAAGCAUAUACAAUAGUUUCCCUUACACUUCUAUAAAUAGCUUUACUCCAUUUUGUUGUUUUCGUAAUUUUAGUGUGGCAAUUUUGAUCGAAAUCAUCUUUAUUCACACACAGGCUGAUUUAUUUUGUUGGCUGGUUCUUCCAUUUUUCUCUGUUAUAGAAUAGGAAUGUCAUUACAGUGCGCGCGCGUGUGAGUUUGGUUGGAAAAAGGGGUGGGGGUGCAGCGAUCGUGGGCUGCAGUGCGUCGAAUGAGGGGUUGGAUGGAUUUUCUAUAAAGAUUCAUAUUGCCACCAGGAAACAGAGUAAAUCAUUUGGGUUACAGUAUUACAUGUGCUUCCUGUGAUGGCAAAUGUAAAUUUGGCACUAUCCAGAUCAAAGAUUACAGAAGUUCUUCUGGAGGAGGAUCCAUUGUUCUUGAUGAUUGUAACUUCCACGAGUCAGUGCAGCUCGACAGUUUUGACAUUGACAGAACUCUGCAUUUAUUAAGUACUACUGAUAUGAUUUAUUUUUUCUUCCAAAUAUGCACAGCAGCAAAAUUUGACAAUCAUAUUUACUAAUGAGUAGAUACCACCUGAUAGAGAAUUUCCAGUGAUGAACUACCGGAUGACUCAAGAAUUUAAGCCACCCUUCUGUGUAACUGCACUAAUUGAAGAAGCUGGCCCAUCUUUCGCUCAAGAGCUAACAUAAUGUGGUCUAAAGAUGCAUUUUUGUAUGAAAUACACAUUCUAACCAUACUUCCCUUACUCUCGCCCCUUGCCCCAUUGGCGCAACGGGUCA